rnacentral:rRNA from 1 species
UUCACAGGCUAUUAAGCAGGGCUGAGCCUGGCCAGUACCUGGAUGGGAGACCUCCUGGGAAAACUAGGUUGCUGCUGAAA